rnacentral:rRNA from 1 species
AUGAAGUCCUUAGUGACUGAGUGGCGGACGGGUGAGUAACGCGUGGGUAACCUGCCUCAUACAGGGGGAUAACAGUUAGAAAUGGCUGCUAAUACCGCAUAAGCGCACAGUACCGCAUGGUACGGUGUGAAAAACUCCGGUGGUAUGAGAUGGACCCGCGUUGGAUUAGCUAGUUGGCAGGGUAACGGCCUACCAAGGCGACGAUCCAUAGCCGGCCUGAGAGGGUGGACGGCCACAUUGGGACUGAGACACGGCCCAGACUCCUACGGGAGGCAGCAGUGGGGAAUAUUGCACAAUGGGGGAAACCCUGAUGCAGCGACGCCGCGUGAGCGAAGAAGUAUUUCGGUAUGUAAAGCUCUAUCAGCAGGGAAGAAAAUGACGGUACCUGACUAAGAAGCCCCGGCUAACUACGUGCCAGCAGCCGCGGUAAUACGUAGGGGGCAAGCGUUAUCCGGAUUUACUGGGUGUAAAGGGAGCGUAGACGGAAUGGCAAGUCUGAUGUGAAAGGCCGGGGCUCAACCCCGGGACUGCAUUGGAAACUGUCAAUCUAGAGUACCGGAGGGGUAAGUGGAAUUCCUAGUGUAGCGGUGAAAUGCGUAGAUAUUAGGAGGAACACCAGUGGCGAAGGCGGCUUACUGGAC